rnacentral:rRNA from 1 species
UGCGAGCGUUAUCCGGAAUUAUUGGGCGUAAAGGGCUCGUAGGCGGUUCGUCGCGUCCGGUGUGAAAGUCCAUCGCUUAACGGUGGAUCCGCGUCGGGUACGGGCGGGCUGGAGUGCGGUAGGGGAGACUGGGAUUCCCGGUGUAACGGUGGAAUGUGUAGAUAUCGGGAAGAACACCAAUGGCGAAGGCAGGUCUCUGGGCCGUUACUGACGCUGAGGAGCGAAAGCGUGGGGAGCGAACAGGAUUAGAUACCCUGGUAGUCCACGCCGUAAACGGUGGAUGCUGGAUGUGGGGCCCUUCCACGGGUCCCGUGUCGGAGCCAACGCGUUAAGCAUCCCGCCUGGGGAGUACGGCCGCAAGGCUAAAACUCAAAGAAAUUGACGGGGGCCCGCACAAGCGGCGGAGCAUGCGGAUUAAUUCGAUGCAACGCGAAGAACCUUACCUGGGCUUGACAUGUUCCCGACGGCGGCGGAGACGUCGCUUCCCUUCGGGGCGGGUUCACAGGUGGUGCAUGGUCGUCGUCAGCUCGUGUCGUGAGAUGUUGGGUCAAGUCCCGCAACGAGCGCAACCCUCGCCCCGUGUUGCCAGCGCGUCAUGGCGGGAACUCACGGGGGACCGCCGGGGUUAACCCGGAGGAAGGUGGGGAUGACGUCAGAUCAUCAUGCCCCUUACGUCCAGGGCUUCACGCAUGCUACAAUGGCCGGUACAGCGGGAUGCGACAUGGUGACAUGGAGCGGAUCCCUGAAAACCGGUCUCAGUUCGGAUCGGAGCCUGCAACCCGGCUCCGUGAAGGCGGAGU